GCCAGUGAUGACAGUUUAUAAAAAUGGUUGACUGAAAUAGCAAGUAAACUUGCUAAUUUGUUGAAAAUCAUGAACUAGGACGGUCUGAGGU